GCAGUUGGGAUCAUCAACAGAAGAUUUCUUCUCAUUCAGGCAGUUGGGAUCAUCAACAGAAGACUCCUUCUCAUUCAGGGAGUUGGGAUCAUCAACGGAAGAUUUCUUCUCAUUAAGGUAAUUGGGAUCAUCAACUGAAGAUUUCUUCUCAUUAAGGUAACUGGGAUCAUCAACGGAAGAUUUCUUCUCAUUAAGGUAAUUGGGAUCAUCAACUGAAGAUUUCUUCUCAUUAAGGUAACUGGGAUCAUCAACGGAAGAUUUCUUCUCAUUAAGGUAAUUGGGAUCAUCAACUGAAGAUUUCUUCUCAUUAAGGUAACUGGGAUCAUCAACGGAAGAUUUCUUCUCAUUAAGGUAAUUGGGAUCAACUGAACCUUCAUUGUUCAGCUCUCCAUGCUGAGGGCUUAAAUGCGCUGCAUCAUCAAUAGAUUCUUGAAUGUCAACAGCAUCAAGCAAUUGCCCAGCUGAUUGCGGCUGCAGCUUUUGACAAGUAGCUUCUGC
rnacentral:lncRNA from 1 species